CAGAGUUCAUGCCCUUCGGGGUAGAUCUCCCACCCUUGAUAUUUCUACCUUUGUUGCUUUGGCGGGCCGCGGCCCUCCGCUACCGGCUCCGGCUGGUAUGCGCCCGCCAGAGGACCCAACUCUUGUUUUUAGUGAUGUCUGAGUACUAUAUAAUAGUUA
rnacentral:misc_RNA from 1 species